CCAGCCUGUCCUUCUGCAGCCCGGGAGUCAUGCUCCCAGCAGAAGAGGCAGUGAGAAAGCGAGGGGCUCAGAAAUGUACCCACUGGAUGGAUCAAGGCCAUAGGAGCGUAUGAAAGAAUUUGCUGGUUCUCCCUCCAUGGCCAUCCCCACUUUUGUGUAGUAAUAGAUGUGGACACAUGGCCAACCAGAACAAAGAGCUCAGCUCCCCUGUGCGGUCUCGUGACUAAAUCCUAGGCUAUGGGGAGAGCAUUCCAGUGAUGUGAGAGGCCUCGGAGGCACAUCCUUCUGGGGCGUGCCUUCCCUUCAUUGUCUCCCCUUUCUGCUGGCUGGAUGGGGAUGUGGAGGAGAGGACCCUUGGACCAUGGGGAUGGGAGCAACGUGCCAGGCAUGGCAGCGCAAUAGAGGUGGGUUCUACCAAAGGAGCUGCUCUACCCAUCCUGGACUGCUUCUAUCUGGAUGUUGGCUGGAGUGCAAUGGCGUGAUCUCAGCUCACCACAACCUCUGCCUCCCGAGUUCAAUCGAUUCUCCUACCUCAGCCUCCAGCUAAUUUUGUAUUUUUAGUAGAGACGGGGUUUCUCCAUGUUGGUCAGGGGUCAGGCUGGUCUCAAACUCCCGACCUCAGGUGAUCCGCCCACCUCAGCCUCCCAAAGUGCUGGGAUUACAGGCAUGAGCCACCGCCCCUGGCCAGGCCAAGAUUUUUUAAAUGGCAGCUCCCUGGAGGCUGAGGAAAAAGGGAGAGGGGAGCCACAGCUCAUACUUAAAAUGGUUCUCGCAAUCGUACUGUAGCCGAAGGGAAUUCUGAGUCACUUUCUCUGGUCUGUUCCUGCAGCCCCCAGCCCUGCUGCACCAGCCUCAGAAGGGAAGGCUGGAAUUCCUUUCUGGGAGGGCUUUCCUUUGCAAACCCUGUGAAUCUGAGGAGCCCUGUUUUCUCUGUAAAUAGAGCAAGUGUCCCCACUGUGACCUAGCAACAUCCUCCCAAUGCACAUGGUGUCUGACGCAAAAUGGAGGAGAAGGAGUUGGCAGAAAGAAGGGAAGAAAAGGUGGGAAGAAGCCUAGAGAAGAAUAUUUAGGUUUGAAGAGUGUGAUUUACUGUUACCUUGAACCCAAAUUAUUUUGUUUGUUUGUUUGUUUGUUUGGGGCAUUUGCCAAAUGUGUAGUCUCACCGUGUAACUGACUGUGUGGAUGAAGCCAUGUUCAUCCACUGAGCUCUGAGCCAUCAGGAGCCCUGGGAGGUGAGUGCGUCUCACAUAUCAUCUUAAAUCACCAGGGCUAGACCAGAAACUAAACACUUCCCCAGGUUUUCUCUCACUAUUUCCUUCAGGAUCAGAUGCUGCCUACAGCCAGAGACCUAAUGCUGUCUUUCCAGCUAAACUGGGAUCUCCAUGAAGUCGGGAUAUAUCUUAUUUGUUUUUAUAAUCUCAACAAUCUGGCAUAGAGUACCAGGCAAAGAAGGAAUGAAUGAGUGAGUGUGUAGAUAAAUGGACAGAUGGAGGGAUAGAUGGAGGGAUGGAUGGAAGGAUGGGUGGGUGGGUGGGUGGAUGCAUAGAUGGAUGGAUGGAUGGAUGGAUAAAUGUUGGAAGGAAGGAAAGAAAAGAAGGAAGAAUGGACAGAUAGGUGAAUAAAUGAUAGAAGGAAGGAAGAAAGGAAGGGUGAAGGAAUGGAUGGAUAGGUGGGUGGAUGGAUGGAUAGAUAGAGGGAUGGUGAAUACGUGGAUGGACAGAUGAAUGCAUGGAUGAUAGACAAUAAUAGUGAAUAGUUUUGAGCUCUUAUUAUGUUCCAGGCAAUUUACACAGAUAAUUUCAUUUAAUUUUCCUCCAUGACUUUCAACAUAUGCAAAAUAAACUUCAGGAAGGUGAAAUCACGUACCUGAAAUGGCACGAAAGUCGAUUAGACUCCUGAGUGAGUGUUCUAAACUAUUAUACCCUAAUGCUGAAUAAAUGAAUGAAUACAUGAAGAAAUGACUUAUCUGUAUAUAAAUUUUGCUCCAAGGAUAUACAAAAGCUAGGCCAGGCAUGGCAUGGUGGCUCAUGCCUGUAAUCCCAGCACUUUGGGAGGCCAAGGCAGGUGGAUCACAUGAAGUCAGGAGUUCGAGACCAGCCUGACCAACAUGAUGAAACCCUGUUUCUACUAAAAAUACAAAAUUAGCAGGGCGUGGUGGUGCAUUCCUGUAAUCCCAGCUACUUGGGAGGCUAAGACAGGAGAAUCACUUGAACUCGGGAGGUGGAGGUUGCAGUGAGCCAAGAUCAUGCCAUUGUACUCCAGCCUGGGCAACAGAGCAAGACUGUCUCCAAAAAAAAAAAAAAAAAAAGUUAAUUCUGCUCACUUCUCUCUAAAGUGACAGGCCAAGGUUUAAGAAAAUCUGUAUAUUUGGAUUUUCUGCCAGUUAUAAGUGAAUAUUAUGUGGUGAAGUGGCACAUUCACAGGGGAAGGACACUUCCAGAAGGCUAAUUCUGAGAAGAUUCUGGGCUUUUCCCACUCACCCAACCUGAUAAUUAAUAGGAGCCAGGAAGAAGCCCCUGAAUUUCUAAGUGCCGAUUCCCGCUGUACCAGCACUCCAAACAUCUGAAGGAAAAACAGUUUGUUAAUUGCUGUCUAGACAGUUUAUUGCGGCAAUAAGAUCAAAACCAAGAAUCCUGAGGUUUGUGGUAUGAAUCAUGCAGACUAAACAAUUGUUUUAUUGCAUUUACAGAGAACUUGAUUUAUAACUGCACUGGGUAAUAAAAUUCCUUCAUGGUUUAUCCGAAAUAAUUUUGCUUCUUUUACACCACUCUGUGAUAAUCCCACCUCUCUG
rnacentral:lncRNA from 10 species